AAUUUGCUAAAAGGUGCGUAUCCUCUGGCAGGCGAGAAGACCCUAUGCAACUUUACUACAGUUAAUCAUUGGAAAUACUUAGAAGAAUGUAAGGUAGUUGACGAGACAUCAAUUCAAAACCUUAAUUCCAUCUUGAGUAUUCCUAACCAUUUAUUGGGACAUUGGCUAAUGGGUAGUUUCAUUGGGACGGUGCCCACUAAUAAGGUAUCAGAGGGAUCUAAAGGUAUACUCAACUCGGCUGGAAACCAAGGGACUAAGCAUGGUCUGAUAGAGACUAAUAUUUAUGUAGGCUUUACUGUCAUACUGAUGGGUCGAGCAGUCGUGCAAGCGGAGUAUAAUGAUACGACAAUACGGUAUGGAUCUGGUUGUAUAAAAUAGAGAAAGUUACGCUAGGGAUAACAGGUUGAUCGCCCGUAAGAGUUCACAUUGUUCGGACGGUUUGACACCUUAAGCAUCGGGUUGUCUUUAUGUUCAUUUAUGCUUAUAAAUACCUAAUACUUUGAUACGUUAAUCGUUAGAAUGCAAUGUAUGGAUAAUCAACAGGUCAAAUACCUAAUAGGCCAUGGCGAAAACCUAUAAUAGGAAAGUCUGGUCAGGAAACUUCUUAUGAGUUUGAAACAACGAUAAAGAGUCAAGUUGAGUAUAAACAGGGUGAAUUGCAAGGAAGUAUAUUAUAGAUUACUCACAGCCAAGCUGGGCUAACAGGUCAGGAAAGUCCAACGACCAAUGGGUUAAAUAAUCCCGACACGAGAGCCCUGCACUAGUGAUAGUGAUGAUAUGGUCUAAACAGUAGUGUGAAUUACUGAGGUAAGUUAUGAAAUAGAGCUGACAUAAUAACAUUGGUCGRCUCAACGCAUCCUCCUGGGGCAGURCCUGGGAAGGGUUGGACUGUUUGUCCAUUAAAGCGUUACGUUAGUUGGGUUUGUAUAUGAGCCCCUUUAACAAUAGUUAUCGAUAACUAUAUUGCUGGAAAGAUUUUACAUACUAAAUAAGCAGCCGAGCUUGACAAAUAGGUCAGGAAGGUUCAACGACUAGUUAGUGAAAUAAUCUAACCUCAAGUAUCCGACACAGUAUAUGUGAUUCGAUAGUCUGCACAGUGGUGUGGAUCAUUGAUAACAUAUAGUCAGUACGGCGUGAGUGAGUAAGGUUUCUACCUUAAGAGGAGAAAUGAAGUCAAUGAUGGGUUGGCCCUUAGUACGAAAGGACUUGCUAUGGCCCGAAUAUCCAUGGUGUUAAAGUUCUCGAUGUAUAGAAUACUUGGUAGCGCUGGGUAGCUAAAUAUAUAAGUGAUAAGCGAUGAAGGCAUAUAAGCGCGAAGUUCGUCAUCGGAGACUGCCUGUUUGACUAAUUUGGUUAAGCAUAGUAAGAGGAAGACUACCUCUAAUUAAUAGGCCACAUGUGUAUAAACUGUCAGGUUCGUAGCUUAGUGGUACUAAUGUACUUA
rnacentral:ncRNA from 1 species